AGUGAACGCUGGCGGUAGGCCUAACACAUGCAAGUCGAACGGCAGCACAGUAAGAGUUUGCUCUUACGGGUGGCGAGUGGCGGACGGGUGAGGAAUACAUCGGAAUCUACUUUUUCGUGGGGGAUAACGUAGGGAAACUUACGCUGAUACCGCAUACGACCUACGGGUGAAAGCAGUGGAUCUUCGGACCUUGCGCGGUUGAAUGAGCCGAUGUCGGAUUAGCUAGUUGGGGGGGUAAAGGCCCACCAAGGCGACGAUCCGUAGCUGGUCUGAGAGGAUAAUCAGCCACACUGGAACUGAGACACGGUCCAGACUCCUACGGGAGGCAGCAGUGGGGAAUAUUGGACAAUGGGCGCAAGCCUGAUCCAGCCAUGCCGCGUGGGUGAAGAAGGCCUUCGGGUUGUAAAGCCCUUUUGUUGGGAAAGAAAAGCAGCAGGUUAAUACCCCGCUGUUCUGACGGUACCCAAAGAAUAAGCACCGGCUAACUUCGUG
rnacentral:rRNA from 1 species